CCGGCCACCAGCGCCACCAGCACCACCGCACAGAGCACCAGCCACCAAUCGCUGCCCAAUAUGGCGGCCGCCUUCGCCACGCUUCUCACUCUACUGGCAGUCCAGCAGGCUGCCGUCCUGGCAAAGGACCUCUCAUGGGGUCACCGCCACCAUAAGUCACCCACUGUCGUCGAGGUCGUGAGGUACGGGCAGGCCUGCCCGUGCGCCAAGACGCUGCCGUUCGAGCUGGAGGUGCCGGUGCAGCCCAAGGAGCCCGUGCUGCACACGUACGGCUACGAGGUGCAGGC